rnacentral:lncRNA from 1 species
UCGGGGCUUAGUGCCAGGAAGGCAAAUGUGUAGCAAUAACCAUAAAAUGCAAGGUACAUAGAGAUGUCCUCCCAUGCACUUUGACCUAGGUUGUAACAGGUAGGCUUAGUUAGCUAAAAGCAGGAUUCUGUGCUUUCACUUCUUGGUUAAGGCACUCAUUCACCAAAUGUUCUCUUCACUAGUGUCAAACAGUCCUUCAGAAUGGAAGUGGUGCUGCCUGCCCACGGAUUUCUUGUGUAUGUGAUCAUUGUUUUUUUUAAAAGAGUGAAAAUUAGACCCUGCAUCAGCACUGGACCCACACAGAUGUCUGGGAGCCACUGUGCCUGGAGUCUGUGUUUUUGGUAACUUUUCCAUCCACAAAAGCAAUUCAAAUAUUUAGAGACCACCU